GAUGAACGCUGGCGGCGUGCCUAAUACAUGCAAGUCGAGCGAACGGACGAGAAGCUUGCUUCUCUGAUGUUAGCGGCGGACGGGUGAGUAACACGUGGAUAACCUACCUAUAAGACUGGGAUAACUUCGGGAAACCGGAGCUAAUACCGGAUAAUAUUUUGAACCGCAUGGUUCAAAAGUGAAAGACGGUCUUGCUGUCACUUAUAGAUGGAUCCGCGCUGCAUUAGCUAGUUGGUAAGGUAACGGCCUACCAAGGCAACGAUGCAUAGCCGACCUGAGAGGGUUAUCCGCCACACUUGAACCUGGGAACCGUCCCGGCUCCUAACGGAGGCAGGCGGUGGGAAUUUUUCCGAAUUGGGCGAAGCCUUACCGAGCAAAGGCGGGGGGGUUAUGGAGGUUCUCCGAUCCGUAAACCUUUUUUAUAGGGGAGAACAUAUUGGGUAGGUACCGUGCCCAACCUGGCGGGUCCUAAUCCGAAAGGCCCGGCUAACUACGUG
rnacentral:rRNA from 1 species